AUUGAACGCUGGCGGAAUGCUUUACACAUGCAAGUCGAACGGCAGCACGGGAGCUUGCUCCUGGUGGCGAGUGGCGAACGGGUGAGUAAUAUAUCGGAACGUAUCCAAUAAUGGGGGAUAACUAAGCGAAAGCUUGGCUAAUACCGCAUACGCCCUGAGGGGGAAAGCUAGGGAUCUUCGAACCUGGCGUUGAUGGAGCG
rnacentral:rRNA from 1 species